rnacentral:rRNA from 1 species
AUUGAACGCUGGCGGCACGCUUUACACAUGCAAGUCGAACGGUAACAGGCCUUCGGGUGCUGACGAGUGGCGAACGGGUGAGUAAUGCAUCGGAACGUGCCCAGAGGUGGGGGAUAACGCAGCGAAAGCUGUGCUAAUACCGCAUGUGAUCUGAGGAUGAAAGCGGGGGACCAAGCAGCAAUGUUUGGCCUCGCGCCUCUGGAGCGGCCGAUGUCAGAUUAGGUAGUUGGUGGGGUAAAGGCCUACCAAGCCGACGAUCUGUAGCUGGUCUGAGAGGACGACCAGCCACACUGGGACUGAGACACGGCCCAGACUCCUACGGGAGGCAGCAGUGGGGAAUUUUGGACAAUGGGCGCAAGCCUGAUCCAGCAAUGCCGCGUGCGGGAAGAAGGCCUUCGGGUUGUAAACCGCUUUUGUACGGAACGAAAAGGCUCUGGCUAAUACCUGGGGCUGAUGACGGUACCGUAAGAAUAAGCACCGGCUAACUACGUG